UGCUUUUUACUGGAUCAAACAUGCAUCAUAUAAAACAUUUAAAUCCAUUAUUGUUUAUGCAAAGUUUAAAAUAAUAAAGCAUUCCCCCCACUCUGUUAAUCUUGGCAGGCUCAAAGAGAGAAUAAUAGAUAGUACAUGGCCUGUACAGAUUCACAGUGUGUCCUAAUCAAUGGGAUUGUCUAAUUCAAGAUGUCCUUGCAGAUGUUUUUUUUUAAACAAACAUUACAUAUCUGUUUGUAACAGACCUCCCUCCCUUCUGUUGUUUUUGCAGAAACAAAAUCUCUGUUGCCACACUAGUCAUUGCGAGUGUAUCCUGGCCUCCAUCCUUACCCUGGAACCAGAUGGCCAAUGCAUAGCUUCCUCUAGAGAAGACUAACAGAGUCAUUAUGUUUGCUCUCGGUAGGCCCAUCUUGUUUGAUCCAUAAACACUCCACUUGGCUCAAACCUGCACCACAUACUGUUGCCACAUUUGACCUCACUAAAUUCCAUGAAUAAUGCUUGGAUGGAAAACAAUUCUUAAUCGGUUAAGAAGUUAUAACUUAUGUGACAGCUGUCCUCUCAGCCUUUCUGCUUCCGUCUUCAUGUUUCAUGCUGUAUAUACUUAAAAAAAUAAGAAUAUGAAGUUGCAGUUGGUUUAUUUCCAUCAUUUCAGGCGUCAGACAGGGAGCCAAACUUUAUUCAGAGGGCUCAACGGUGAACAGUUUUCAGCACUUUUUAGCGAUGGAUUUUGACAAUGUCUUUCAGCUGCUUGGUGAAUGACGCAUGCAGGGCCUGUGAUGAGCUCUCCAACCUGCUGGCGAUGUCAGCUGCAGCACGAAGCAUGUCUUCAAAGGCCAAGGACUCUUCUCUGAUUCUGCUCCGGAAGACAACAGUCCAAGUUACAAAUGGAGUGAAGACAUGGAGAAAGCACAGCACACAGGGACAAAAAGAGCUCAUCACCAGCUGCCUGCAAUGUGUCAUUGGUGGCCAUUAACAGAGAAUAGAUGUCAAUGCCUGAACCCCACUCACCAUCUCCACUCUGGCAGAGUGCAGGGGUUACCAUGGAUACCCAGGCCAAGAUGAAGUUCAUCCAGCAAUGCCACAUAGUGACCUGAAAAGACGCAAAGGUAAGGGACUCACUGUUCACACUGUUUUAAUUAUGUACAGUUAUAACAAGAAAAAAAAUACAUUUAAGUAUAAAGCAUCUUUAAAAAAGUCAAGACCCUUACAAAACCUCAGAGAGCUAAGAGGAUUAUCAAGUGCUGACCCUCAUUUGUCCACUAAUACUUUUUAAAUCAAAGUUAAUCUAAC
rnacentral:lncRNA from 1 species